rnacentral:rRNA from 1 species
GACGAACGCUGGCGGCGUGCCUAAUACAUGCCAGUUGAGCGAUGAAGAUUGGUGCUUGCACCAAUUUGAAGAGCAGCGCACGGGUGAGUAACGCGUGGGGAAUCUGCCUUUGAGCGGGGGACAACAUUUGGAAACGAAUGCUAAUACCGCAUAACAACUUUAAACAUAAGUUUUAAGUUUGAAAGAUGCAAUUGCAUCACUCAAAGAUGAUCCCGCGUUGUAUUAGCUAGUUGGUGAGGUAAAGGCUCACCAAGGCGAUGAUACAUAGCCGACCUGAGAGGGUGAUCGGCCACAUUGGGACUGAGACACGGCCCAAACUCCUACGGGAGGCAGCAGUAGGGAAUCUUCGGCAAUGGACGAAAGUCUGACCGAGCAACGCCGCGGGAGUGAAGAAGGUUUUCGGAUCGUAAAACUCUGUUGGUAGAGAAGAACGUUGGUGAGAGUGGAAAGCUCAUCAAGUGACGGUAACUACCCAGAAAGGGACGGCUAACUACGUG